rnacentral:rRNA from 1 species
CAGUAGCCGCGGGAAUACAGAGGGUGCGAGCGUUAAUCGGAUUUACUGGGCGUAAAGCGUGUGUAGGUUAUUGUUCAAGUCAGUUGUGAAAUCCCUGGGCUCAACCUGGGAACUGCUUCUGAGACUGAACGACUAGAGUACGGUAGAGGGUGGUGGAAUUUCCGGUGUAGCGGUGAAAUGCGUAGAUAUCGGAAGGAACAUCAAUGGCGAAGGCAGCCACCUGGGCCUGUACUGACACUGAGACACGAAAGCGUGGGGAUCAAACAGGAUUAGAUACCCGCGUAGUCCCUGUCUCUUAUAC